AAUCCAUAGGUUAAUGAGGCGAACCGGGGGAACUGAAACAUCUAAGUACCCCGAGGAAAAGAAAUCAACCGAGAUUCCCCCAGUAGCGGCGAGCGAACGGGGAGGAGCCCAGAGCCUGAAUCAGCAUGUGUGUUAGUGGAAGCGUCUGGAAAGGCGCGCGAUACAGGGUGACAGCCCCGUACACAAAAGCGCAUGUGCUGUGAGCUCGAUGAGUAGGGCGGGACACGUGGUAUCCUGUCUGAAUAUGGGGGGACCAUCCUCCAAGGCUAAAUACUCCUGACUGACCGAUAGUGAACCAGUACCGUGAGGGAAAGGCGAAAAGAACCCCGGCGAGGGGAGUGAAAAAGAACCUGAAACCGUGUACGUACAAGCAGUGGGAGCACAGGUUUACCUGUGUGACUGCGUACCUUUUGUAUAAUGGGUCAGCGACUUAUAUUCUGUAGCAAGGUUAACCGAAUAGGGGAGCCGGAGGGAAACCGAGUCUUAAUUGGGCGUUAAGUUGCAGGGUAUAGACCCGAAACCCGGUGAUCUAGCCAUGGGCAGGUUGAAGGUUGGGUAACACUAACUGGAGGACCGAACCGACUAAUGUUGAAAAAUUAGCGGAUGACCUGUGGCUGGGGGUGAAAGGCCAAUCAAACCGGGAGAUAGCUGGUUCUCCCCGAAAGCUAUUUAGGUAGCGCCUCGUGAAUUCAUCUCCGGGGGUAGAGCACUGUUUCGGCUAGGGGGCCAUCCCGGCUUACCAACCCGAUGCAAACUGCGAAUACCGGAGAAUGUUAUCACGGGAGACACACGGCGGGUGCUAACGUCCGUCGUGAAGAGGGAAACAACCCAGACCGCCAGCUAAGGUCCCAAAGUCAUGGUUAAGUGGGAAACGAUGUGGGAAGGCCCAGACAGCCAGGAUGUUGGCUUAGAAGCAGCCAUCAUUUAAAGAAAGCGUAAUAGCUCACUGGUCGAGUCGGCCUGCGCGGAAGAUGUAACGGGGCUAAACCAUGCACCGAAGCUGCGGCAGCGACACUGUGUGUUGUUGGGUAGGGGAGCGUUCUGUAAGCCUGCGAAGGUGGCCUGUGAGGGUUGCUGGAGGUAUCAGAAGUGCGAAUGCUGACAUAAGUAACGAUAAAGCGGGUGAAAAGCCCGCUCGCCGGAAGACCAAGGGUUCCUGUCCAACGUUAAUCGGGGCAGGGUGAGUCGACCCCUAAGGCGAGGCCGAAAGGCGUAGUCGAUGGGAAACGGGUUAAUAUUCCCGUACUUGGUGUUACUGCGAAGGGGGGACGGAGAAGGCUAUGUUGGCCGGGCGACGGUUGUCCCGGUUUAAGCGUGUAGGUGUGUGUUCCAGGUAAAUCCGGUUCACUUUAACACUGAGGCGUGACGACGAGGCACUACGGUGCUGAAGCAACAAAUGCCCUGCUUCCAGGAAAAGCCUCUAAGCAUCAGGUAACAUCAAAUCGUACCCCAAACCGACACAGGUGGUCAGGUAGAGAAUACCAAGGCGCUUGAGAGAACUCGGGUGAAGGAACUAGGCAAAAUGGUGCCGUAACUUCGGGAGAAGGCACGCUGACACGUAGGUGAAGUGAUUUACUCAUGGAGCUGAAGUCAGUCGAAGAUACCAGCUGGCUGCAACUGUUUAUUAAAAACACAGCACUGUGCAAACACGAAAGUGGACGUAUACGGUGUGACGCCUGCCCGGUGCCGGAAGGUUAAUUGAUGGGGUCAGCGCAAGCGAAGCUCCUGAUCGAAGCCCCGGUAAACGGCGGCCGUAACUAUAACGGUCCUAAGGUAGCGAAAUUCCUUGUCGGGUAAGUUCCGACCUGCACGAAUGGCGUAAUGAUGGCCAGGCUGUCUCCACCCGAGACUCAGUGAAAUUGAACUCGCUGUGAAGAUGCAGUGUACCCGCGGCAAGACGGAAAGACCCCGUGAACCUUUACUAUAGCUUGACACUGAACAUUGAGCCUUGAUGUGUAGGAUAGGUGGGAGGCUUUGAAGUGUGGACGCCAGUCUGCAUGGAGCCGACCUUGAAAUACCACCCUUUAAUGUUUGAUGUUCUAACGUGGACCCGUUACCCGGGUUGCGGACAGUGUCUGGUGGGUAGUUUGACUGGGGCGGUCUCCUCCUAAAGAGUAACGGAGGAGCACGAAGGUUGGCUAAUCCUGGUCGGACAUCAGGAGGUUAGUGCAAUGGCAUAAGCCAGCUUGACUGCGAGCGUGACGGCGCGAGCAGGUGCGAAAGCAGGUCAUAGUGAUCCGGUGGUUCUGAAUGGAAGGGCCAUCGCUCAACGGAUAAAAGGUACUCCGGGGAUAACAGGCUGAUACCGCCCAAGAGUUCAUAUCGACGGCGGUGUUUGGCACCUCGAUGUCGGCUCAUCACAUCCUGGGGCUGAAGUAGGUCCCAAGGGUAUGGCUGUUCGCCAUUUAAAGUGGUACGCGAGCUGGGUUUAGAACGUCGUGAGACAGUUCGGUCCCUAUCUGCCGUGGGCGCUGGAGAACUGAGGGGGGCUGCUCCUAGUACGAGAGGACCGGAGUGGACGCAUCACUGGUGUUCGGGUUGUCAUGCCAAUGGCACUGCCCGGUAGCUAAAUGCGGAAGAGAUAAGUGCUGAAAGCAUCUAAGCACGAAACUUGCCCCGAGAUGAGUUCUCCCUGAGACUUAGAGU
rnacentral:rRNA from 1 species